GUGCUGACUGUGAGAAUCUCAAUUGCGUACUCCUCGUGUCCUCUCUCCUCAUCUCUCCUCUCUCUCCCUCACUCUCUCUCUCCUCGCACAACUCUCUCCUCGCGUCCUCUCUCCUCUCUCCUCACGCCCCCUUCCUCCUCUCUUCUCUUCCUCCUCACUCUCUCUCUCCUCGCACACUCUCUCCUCGUGUCUCUCUCUCCUCACUCUCUCUCUCCUCACUCUCUCUCUCCUCUCCACCCCUCUCUCCUCGCGUUCUCUUCUCCUCACUCUCUCUCUCCUCACUCUCUCUCUCCUCGCACACUCCUCCUCGCGUCCUCUCUCCCUCUCCUCACGCCGCUCUCUCCUCACUCUCUCUCUCCUCACUCUCUCUCUCCUCGCACACUCUCUCCUCGUGUCCUCUCUCCUCACUCUCUCUCUCUCCUCACUCUCUCUCUCCGCACACUCUCUCUCGCGUCCUCUCUCCUCACUCUCUCUUCUUCACUCUCUCUCUCCUCGCACCCUCUCUCCUCGUGUCCUCUCUCCUCACUCUCUCUCUCCUCGCACACUCUCUCCUCGCGUCCCUCUCCUCUCUCCUCACGCCUCUUUCCUCACCUCUCUCCUCUCUCGCGCCCUCUCUCCUCGCGCCCUCUCUCCUCGCACCUCUCUCCUCGCGCCCUCUCUCCUCGCACACUCUCUCCUCGCACCUCUCUCCUCGCGCCCUUCUCUCUCGCACACUCUCCUCCUCGCGCCCUUCUCCUCGCACUUCUCCUCGCACUCUCUCUCGGCCCUCCUCGCUCCUCCUCCACACUCUCUCCUCGCGCCCUCUCUCCUCGCACACUCCUCUCCGCGCCCUCAUCUCUCCCCUCGCACACUCUCUCCUCGCACACUCUCUCCUCGCGUCCUCUCUCCUCUCUCCUCACGCCUCUUUCCUCACGCUCCUCCUCUCUCGCGCGCCUCCUCUCCUCGCACACUCUCUCUCCUCGCACACUCUCUCCUCGCGCCCUCUCUCCUCGCGCCCUCUUUCCUCACUCUCUCUCUCCUCGCGCCCUCUCUCCUCGCACACUCUCUCCUCGCCUCCUUCUCAAAACCCAUUGGAGGAGAAUGUCAGAGGGGAGGGACAUCUGGCUUUCUCAUCCAAUGGGUUUUGAAAAGGAGGCGAGGAGAGAGGAACACGAUAAGUAUGCAAUUGAGAUUCUCCCUCAUGAGACCAACCAUACACCUUCAGGAAGAUGUUGUCAAGAACAUAUAGAGUCACCAACAUAUAGAGUCACCCGACUACAGUACAGUACUACUGUCACGGAGGAAUAG
rnacentral:lncRNA from 1 species